AAGUCCACAAAGGGAAAGAGUGAAGCUGCCAGCAUGAUCUACCUUUGGGCUAGUUAAUUUUGUAGCGGUUAACCCAAGCUAGGUCAUGCUGUGACAGCCUCAUUCUUUCCCCACUUUUGUGGAUCUU
rnacentral:pre_miRNA from 1 species